rnacentral:ncRNA from 1 species
CUGAUAAAUGCGGGAGAGAGCCCAGGUUACGGGCCGCCGAAGGAACAAACCGAAAAAGUUUGCCAAUUUUGAGGUGAAAUUCUCAGGCAAAAGGACCGCAUUUUGACA